rnacentral:rRNA from 1 species
GGUGUCCUACGGGGGGCAGCAGUGGGGAAUAUUGGGCAAUGGGCGCAAGCCUGACCCAGCAAUGCCGCGUGAAGGAAGAAGGCCUUCGGGUUGUAAACUUCUUUUAUCAGGGACGAAGGAUGUGACGGUACCUGAUGAAUAAGCUCCGGCUAACUACGUGCCAGCAGCCGCGGUAAUACGUAGGGAGCAAGCGUUAUCCGGAUUUACUGGGUGUAAAGGGCGCGUAGGCGGGAUGGCAAGUCAGAUGUGAAAACUCAGGGCUCAACCCUGAGCCUGCAUUUGAAACUGUGUUUCUUGAGUGCUGG